UACGGAGGAUCCGAGCGUUAUCCGGAUUUAUUGGGUUUAAAGGGUGCGUAGGCGGAAAAAUAAGUCAGUUGUGAAAGUUUGCGGCUCAACCGUAAAAUUGCAGUUGAUACUGUUUUUCUUGAGUGUACAUAAGGUAGGCGGAAUUCGUGGUGUAGCGGUGAAAUGCUUAGAUAUCACGAAGAACUCCAAUUGCGAAGGCAGCUUACCGGGGUACAACUGACGCUGAGGCACGAAAGUGUGGGUAUCAAACAGG
rnacentral:rRNA from 1 species